CACCAACGGUCAUAUUGUCAGGCUGCGCUGAGUGUGCAGAACGGCCAGAAAAAGCAGAGUAACGGCUAGUUUCCGUGGGGGUUGACUUAAAUAGCCACAGAAGACUGUAGCAAGGCAGAGAACACAUAUUCCACUCCUAGCAUUCAAGUCUUCAAGCUCUCUAAGUGCUUUUCAACGAAAAAAAGGGAAGAUCUGCAUUUACUGCUCCACCAACAUCUUCCCAGCAUUCAAAGCUUCCUCCUCCUGCUUUCAAGUCGAUCACUUUUUCAAGAGGAGACCGGAGUUCCAGAAGCCACACCUCUUCACCAUCUUAAAAGCGUUUGAGGGCUUCUAACUUAUAUUGUUUUAAAUCUACUUUUUGAGAAGCUAUUUUCUGUUUUCUUCUAUCUCGUGUAUUUACUUGAUUCAAUCGGGGGAUUGAAUCAAGGAGAUUAAGGUUGGUUGGUGAGCCGGUUUAAAACCAACGAGUGUAAGGGUUUGAUUGUGAGCCUAGGAAAACAAUCGGGGUUGGUUCUAGUCGGUGAGCCUGGGAAAACCGACCGAGUUCGUUGUGAGCUCGUAAAACAACAAGUUCGGUUGUGAGCUUGCAAAACAACCGGCUGUAAUCCAAGGGGGUUAUAGUGAAAUUCCCAAGUGAGACUUGGGAAGUGGAUGUAGGAGCAAGGGUUAGCUCCGAACCACUAUAAAACUUUGUGUUUGUAGUGCAUUGUCUCUCAUCUUCUUCCCCACACAUUACUCACAGCACUUAGCUUUAAUUAAAUAACUGGCUAUAGUAUUUCGUUAAUCAUCCACAAAGUUUUAAUUAGCUAAGUUAAGUUAAAAACCCAAUUCACCCCCCCCUCUUGGGUUGUCUAUCUGGGCAACAAUAUGUAAAUUUUUCAACCAAGGGUUUGUAUUUUUCAAGUUCUUUAGUUAGUGUUUGUUUUUCUGCUUUUAGAUCAUUUAGUUCUUUUGUGAGACUCUCAUUUAU
rnacentral:lncRNA from 1 species